rnacentral:tRNA from 1 species
GCCUGGGUGGCUCAGUGGUUGAGCGUCUGCCUUCAGCUCAGGUCAUGAUCCUGGGGUUCUGGGAUUGAGUCCCACAUCAGGCU